rnacentral:rRNA from 1 species
UACGGGGGGAGCAAGCGUUGUUCGGAUUUACUGGGCGUAAAGGGCGCGUAGGCGGCCAGCACAAGUCAGUUGUGAAAUCUCCGAGCUUAACUCGGAACGGUCAACUGAUACUGUGCGGCUAGAGUGCGGAAGGGGCAACUGGAAUUCUUGGUGUAGCGGUGAAAUGCGUAGAUAUCGAGAGGAACACCUGCGGCGAAGGCGGGUUGCUGGGCUGACACUGACGCUGAUGCGCGAAAGCCAGGGGAGCAAACGGG